GGCGCUAUAGCCAAGUUGUUACGGCGACAGAUUCGAAUUACUUGUUUCUGCAUUGCACCCGAUCAUCUGUUCCUCUCUGAGGGCGCUUCAAAACCUGCUGGCGUCG